rnacentral:rRNA from 1 species
UAAGGAAUAUUGGACAAUGGGGGCAACCCUGAUCCAGCCAUGCCGCGUGAGUGAAGAAGGUCUUCGGGUUGUAAAGCUCUUUUACAUGUGAAGAUGAUGACGGUAACAUGGGAAUAAGCACCGGCAAACUUCGUGCCAGCAGCCGCGGUAAUACGAAGGGUGCAAGCGUUGUUCGGAAUUACUGGGCGUAAAGGGCGCGUAGGCGGACAUUUUAGUUAGGGGUGAAAUCCCGGGGCUUAACCUCGGAAUUGCCUUUAAAACGGGGUGUCUAGAGAGAUUGAGGGGAUAAUGGAAUACCCAGUGUAGAGGUGGAAUUCGUAGAUAUUGGGUAGAACACCGGUGGCGAAAGCGAUUAUCUGGCAAUCAACUGACGCUGAGGCGCGAAAGCGUGGGGAUCAAACA